GGCCAGACUCCUACGGGAGGCAGCAGUGGGGGAUAUUGCACAAUGGGGGAAACCCUGAUGCAGCGACGCCGCGUGGGCGAAGAAGUAUUUCGGUAUGUAAAGCCCUAUCAGCAGGGAAGAAGAAAUGACGGUACCUGAGUAAGAAGCACCGGCUAAAUACGUGCCAGCAGCCGCGGUAAUACGUAGGGGGCAAGCGUUAUCCGGAUUUACUGGGUGUAAAGGGGGCGCAGACGGCGAUGCAAGCCAGGAGUGAAAGCCCGGGGCCCAACCCCGGGACUGCUCUUGGAACUGCGUGGCUGGAGUGCAGGAGGGGCAGGCGGAAUUCCUGGUGUAGCGGUGAAAUGCGUAGAUAUCAGGAGGAACACCGGUGGCGAAGGCGGCCUGCUGGACUGCAACUGACGUUGAGGCCCGAAAGCGUGGGGAGCAAACAGGAUUAGAUACCCUAGUAGA
rnacentral:rRNA from 1 species